UGCCAGGUACAUAUACAUCUGCAAAACGCUACUGGUUCCCACGGCACAGACGCAGCUUGAAAGAAUGCUCUGAGCAGACUGCUGAAGUAGCACCAGGGCCGACUGUAGCAUAUGUAUCUGGACUGAAUACAGGUGAUUAAGGGCUGAGGAAAUAAAAAUAAUUUUACAGUGAGUGUGUUGUAUUAGCAUAAACUGCUUCAGUUGCUUCCUUUUAUCCAGCUGGAUCAAGCUAUCUGAAAGCAUUUCAUGUCUUCCAUUGAAUCACACGAGGAGAAAAGAUGAAAAGAAGGAACAGGAAGACGUAAAGAACGAAAGACUUUACAUGAAGCCAAGUGACCAUCCGUGUAGGUGUCCGAAGUCCCAAGCUUCUGAGUGCCCUAGGAAUAAGGAUCCAACACUGAAAGUAAAACUGAAGAUUAAGCACAGGUCUUAGACCUGCACCCAGCCAGGAGAUCUUUAAAUAUCGUGGAUUAAUGGAGGAGUGUCAGCAGAAGAUUUGGACCUUAGUUGCCAGAGAGCUGCAUCCAUGGUGUUACCAUCACAUCCACUGAAUGUGCUGGAGCUUUCCUAUCAAGGUGUUAAUUUCCUGCCAGUGCAGACUGAUUUUAUUUUUAACCUUUUCGAGACAUUAGAAGGUGUUUAGCCACUGCUGUGUAUCAGCAGCCGAAAGGAUCUGUGAGGAUGAAUGUAACUAUUUGCUCCAAAUAACCUACAUGGCUCUUUUCAUUCCUUUUGGCAAGCAUCCGUGAGCAGAUUUAAGUUUUAGAGAGCCCUGGAGUAGUUCUUACAGCUGUAUUCUGUGCAGAAAGCCCAACCACUGGAAGGCCAGCAGUCUGAAGAUGGCAUAAAAAUCAUGAGUUUGAUAAAGUUAGAGGACAGCAUUUUAAAGUUGAAUUUCAUGACUCAUGAUAUUGUAAUUGUAUUCCGAUCAGAUAUGUUUAUCAACUACAUUUUCCCCUUUUGUUCUCUCCUUCCCUUCCCUGUCCCUGUAUCUGUUGUCAACCAACUUUGACUAUAAUGGUAAAACUGCUUUUUGCAGAAUUUUGUUAGAAGAGAAUGUUGGCUCUUAGAGUAUUUCUGAACAGCUCAUAAUGAAGAGAUUAAGUACUGAAUUCAGUGAGGCAUUUCCAAGCAGGUUUUUACAUUAUUUGAAUAGAGCCAAAGCCUGCUUACUUGGCUCCCCUGGAACAAAAGAAAUUUCAGUAUUUUCUGGGACUGUCACUGAAUGUUGUAUCUGUUGUCAAAGUCUAUGGUACUUGCUUCUGUCUUCGGAAAUCUUUAGACCUCACAUAAAUAAACACCUCACAAAAAUAUAUGUUGCAUAUUUGGCAGUGGAGAGAUGCUACAGCUUGAUGACAGAGCCACUCUUUGUAAAGGGACUCGCCGUAUAUUCCCAAGAGACACAUCUCAUUAAAAU